GGUAACCUCCCCUCCUUUCCUGACACGCACAGGCUCCUAGGGGCCAAGCAACUUGCUGGACCCCUCUUCUAGGGAGGUUAGAGGGAAGGCUCGACCUUGGACAGCUGUCUCCAGAGUCUUGCUCCUGUCUAUGAUGCUGGGGACUGGCUUAGAAGGAGAGAUCAUAGAGCAAUGGGGAAUGCACCUAAAUGUACACAAGGAAAGAAAGUAGGACAGCGAGGGCCGAGAAGAGCCCAGGCUGCUGAAUCUCAGUACAAAUGCAAAAGUCCAAGUUCAGUUUCAAGUGCACUCUGUUAGCACCCCAGGACACAAUGUGCAUGAGGUUCCACGUGGGGUGGGUGUCCUCUAGUAGCAGUCCUCCUUUUAAAAUGUUUUAUUAGUGUAUUGUAGUUUUAUAGUAUUGGGGUUCAUUUUGACAUUAUGGCAUGCAUGAAAUAUAAUCUGCUUCAUUUCAGUCCCCAGUCCUUCCUCUUUCCUUCCCCCUGUCCUCUUCCUCUACUCUACUGGGCUCCCUUCUUUUUAUUUGUAGUAUUUUUAAAUUGGUGCUUUACAGUUAAACAUAAAGGUGAAGUUUGUUGGUAUAUUAUUAUAUGUUCAUAGCAUAAUCUGGUGAAUUUCAUUCCACAGUUAAAUAAUGGACUUCUAAGCAACACUUUGCUCAGAGUACUGGUUGACUUGUCAUGUCCUGAAUGUGAGAGCAUGGCUCCAUGACAAGAGGAUUAUCACAACUUGCACAUCUUAAUGGAGUUCCUAAACAAGAAAACAGUAAUAAAAUGUAGGGGUUUCUUUAAUAUCUCUCUCUCUCUCUCUCUCUCUCUCUCUCUCUCUCUCUCUCUCUCACACACACACACACACACACACACACACCAUAAAUGUUUUCUGACUUUCCUUUAUAAGGAACUAAAAUUAAUAUCUGUGUACAGCUCUAGAGUUUUAAUUGGUACGAACACAAGUCUUGUUAACCAUACUUUUGACAAGGUGACCCUAUCAGAAAGAUGAAGUUCAAGGGAAAAAUGAAGUUUUCAGGCUUAUUUUGGGGGAAAAAAAAAGCUUCACAACAGGCAUUGAGGUGUAGUUGCAAAGAAUCUUCUUGCUGAGUCAAGGCCUGACUCAUCUAACUGGCUUGAGUGACUUCUUGAGUGGCUUCGGCGAUAUUUCGGAACUUCUCUGGGCUUUGUUUCCUUUUCUGGGAACCUAAAGACAAUAAUGGGGGUUCCUGAACUGUUUUUCAAUACUUGGGAGUCCUAAAAAUCUUUUUUGUGGCCAAACAAGCUGUGUGACUUUUAGCAAGCUACCUCUCUGUUCCUCAUUUUCUGUAUCAGAAAGGGGGAAUGAUAAGGGUACCUGAUCUGUGGUUGUCUCGUGAGGGUUAAAUGACAACAUGGAUGCAGCACUGACAGCAGGGCCUGCUCCCUGGAAACUAUUGAGCAAUCUAUCUUAGCUAUUGUUUUUACCAUUGUGAUCAUCGUCAUUAUGAUGGUGAAAUGGAAAAGCUGCGGUACACAUUUGAAACAAAUUAAUUGUUACCUAAUACAUGUGGUUUGGUGAUUAAAAUGUUUCAAAACAAAAGGCUCUUUGAGGGGGGCAUUUAAAACCAGCAUUGAAAAUCUGGGAACUGCAUCUCCAGGGCAUACAGGAGUUAGCAGC
rnacentral:lncRNA from 1 species